rnacentral:rRNA from 1 species
AUUGAACGCUGGCGGCAGGCCUAACACAUGCAAGUCGAACGAGUGGCGGACGGGUGAGUAAUGUCUGGGAAACUGCCUGAUGGAGGGGGAUAACUACUGGAAACGGUAGCUAAUACCGCAUACCAUCAGAUGUGCCCAGCUGGGAUUAGCAAGUUGGUGGGGUAACGGCUCACCAAGGCGACGAUCCCUAGCUGGGCUGAGAGGAUGACAAGCCACACUGGAACUGAGACACGGUCCAGACUCCUACAUGAGGCAGCAGUGGGGAAUAUUGCGCAAUGGGAGCAAGCCUGAUGCAGCCAUGCCGCGUGUAUGAAGAAGGCCUUUGGGUUGUAAAGUACUUUCAGCGGGGAGGCGUUACCCGCAGAAGAAGCACCGGCGAACUCCGGGCCAGCAGCCGCGGUAAUU